ensembl:snRNA U2 U2 spliceosomal RNA
AUGUCUUGGCCUUUUGGCUAAGAUCAAGUGUAGUUUUUAUUAUUAUUAUUAUUAUUAUUAUUAUUAUUAUUAUUAUUAUUAUUAUUAUUAUUGUAAGUCACAAAGCAGAUGGACUCCCUUCAGACAUGGAAAUACUCUUGUGCUGGCAAGACUCCUGACCGAAAGGUUGGCGGUUCAAAUCCAGAGAACGGGAUGAGCUC